rnacentral:rRNA from 1 species
AACGAACGCUGGCGGCAGGCUUAACACAUGCAAGUCGAGCGCCCCGCAAGGGGAGCGGCAGACGGGUGAGUAACACGUGGGAACGUACCUUUUGCUACGGAAUAGCUCCGGGAAACUGGAAUUAAUACCGUAUGUGUCCUUCGGGGGAAAGAUUUAUCGGCAAAAGAUCGGCCCGCGUCUGAUUAGCUAGUUGGUGGGGUAAUGGCCUACCAAGGCGACGAUCAGUAGCUGGUCUGAGAGGAUGAUCAGCCACACUGGGACUGAGACACGGCCCAGACUCCUACGGGAGGCAGCAGUGGGGAAUAUUGGACAAUGGGCGCAAGCCUGAUCCAGCCAUGCCGCGUGAGUGAUGAAGGCCUUAGGGUUGUAAAGCUCUUUCAGUGGGGACGAUAAUGACGGUACCCACAGAAGAAGCCCCAGCUAACUUCGUGCCAGCAGCCGCAGUAAUAC